UACAGAGGGUGCGAGCGUUAAUCGGAAUUACUGGGCGUAGAGCGUGCGUAGCCGGUUAUGUAAGUCAGGUGUGAAAGCCCCGGGCUCAACCUGGGAAUUGCAUUUGAGACUGCAUAGCUAGGGUGCGGAAGAGGGAAGCGGAAUUUCCGGUGUAGCGGUGAAAUGCGUAGAUAUCGGAAGGAACAUCAGUGGCGAAAGCGGCUUCCUGGUCCAGCACCGACGUUCAGGCACGAAAGCGUGGGGAGCAAACAGG
rnacentral:rRNA from 1 species